ACAGUGACACACCUGGACCGAGAUUGAAGCAUGCUGGCCGUCACGUGGGGGUGAUAUAGCCAUGUGCACAGUGUAGAAACAAUAAAGAUAAGAAAUAUACGAAUAAAUAAAAACCGAAAGCUACUAAUGUGCACUAAUAAACAGGAAGUGCUAGGAGUGAGAUACAAGUGUAAUUACUCCUAAUCAGAGCAUAGAAAGUCUAGGUGCA
rnacentral:lncRNA from 1 species